AUUGAACGCUGGCGGCGUGCUUAACACAUGCAAGUCGAACGCGAAAGGGACUUCGGUCCUGAGUAAAGUGGCGCANGGGUGAGUAACGCGUGGAUAAUCUGCCCUUAUGAUUGGAAUAACAGUUGGAAACGGCUGCUAAUACCGGAUACGCUCAAAAUGAACUUUUUGAGGAAAGAUGGCCUCUGCUUGCAUGCUAUCGCAUAAGGAUGAGUCCGCGUCCCAUUAGCUUGUUGGCGGGGUAACGGCCCACCAAGGCAACGAUGGGUAGCCGAUUUGAGAGGAUGAUCGGCCACACUGGAACUGAAACACGGUCCAGACUCCUACGGGAGGCAGCAGUGGGGAAUAUUGCGCAAUGGGCGAAAGCCUGACGCAGCGACGCCNCGUGAGGGAUGAAGGUUUUCGGAUCGUAAACCUCUGUCAGAAGGGAAGAAACUACGUUGUGCUAAUCAGCAGCGUACUGACGGUACCUUCAAAGGAAGCACCGGCUAACUCCGUGCC
rnacentral:rRNA from 1 species